GCAGGCCCGCAUCCAAGCGGGUUUUCCAGGGACAGCUGGAGCUGCCGGCAGGGUCAGGAUGUGACAUCACUGACCGGAGAAAAACCCUCGGCCCCGGCUUCUCUAACGAAACCCCCGUGAGCGCUGGGGCGAGGCGGUUCUCCCUGCCGCUGUUGCUGCUGCCAUCCCCAAACUGCCAGCAGUCCCCACAGAGAGCCGGCCUUGGACUUUGUAUCUUUUUAAUUUUUUUUUUCCUUUUCCUGAAUAAGAGCCCAAAGUGCAGCGGAGGGAUUUGAGAGUGGAAGCCGCCGUGCCGGGGGAUGAGCUCGCAGGCCUGGAGCUCCCGGUGUUUGGAAUUACGGCUCUGACGACGGAGUAAUCACCCUUGGGACUGAACCAGAGCUGUUGGACACCACUGAGGCCAUUGGACACUUGUUUUCAGGGCUGGCAGCAAGUUACUGCUAGUAGCAGUGAGAUCUCAGCUCCCAGGAAUGAGAAACCUCCAUCCCUGAAGACCCCAGCCCUGGGUUCCAUGUUGCUCUGAGCCUCUGCCCUCACCCUGGCUGGCCCUGCCCACAAUGGCCCUGUGUCUCAAGCAAGUCUUCAACAAAGACAAAACCUUCCGUCCCCGGAAGAAGUUUGAGCCGGGCACGCAGCGCUUUGAGCUGUACAAGAAAGCCCAGGCCUCCCUCAAGUCUGGGCUGGACCUGAAGGCUGUGGUGCAGCUGCCUCCUGGCGAGAGCAUCAACGACUGGAUCGCCGUGCACGUGGUGGAUUUCUUCAACCGCAUCAACCUCAUCUACGGCACCAUGUCCGAGUACUGCACCGAGAGGAGCUGCCCCAUCAUGUCCGGCGGGCUCAAGUACGAGUACAGGUGGCAGGAUGACAGCAAGUACAAGAAGCCCACCAAGCUGUCGGCCCCACAGUACAUGUGCAUGCUGAUGGACUGGAUCGAGAUGCUCAUUAACAAUGAGGACGUCUUCCCCACCAGGAUAGGUGUUCCCUUCCCCAAGCAGUUCCAGCAAGUUUGCACCAAGAUCCUCACCCGCCUCUUCCGUGUCUUUGUCCAUGUCUACAUCCACCACUUUGACAGCAUCAUCAACAUGGGUGCUGAGGCUCAUGUCAACACCUGCUACAAGCACUUCUACUAUUUCAUCAGGGAGUUCAGCCUCAUUGACCACAGGGAGCUGGAGCCUUUGAAAGAAAUGACAGAACGAAUUUGCCACUGAAGUCUCCUGGCAGAUGAACUCAGCUGGAUCACUCAGAGUCUGGUGGGACAAGACAGACCUGUGGUGGGAAACCUCUUCCCUAGGACUUGCUCUGGGCAUUCCAGCUCACUGACCUAUGAACACUGCAGAAGUGCCUCUUCAGGCCAGGACUGAAUUCUAAGUUUUUCAAGAACCUCUGGACAGAUUUUUCUUCUUUUAAUAGAUACCAAUCCCUGUUGUAUGGUUCCUGUUUUAGAAAGCUACUGACUUACUGGAGAAUGAGGCAAGUUGGUUUACUUUUGCACACUCUGAUUUCUAAGACUCAAUCUGACAUCAAAUUUUCAGCAACUUUCCCUCUUGUUUUGUCCUCAGCUACAUUGAUCUUCAGAUGUUUCAUUAUCAAUUCCUGCCCUGUGAGAAGGUGUGACCUUGGCUACCAGGUGUUACCUUUCCCACAGGCAGUGGGUUUGUGGUAACACCUGAGAUCAGCCCUGCAGAGCUGGUGGCAUUUCAUCCCACUGCCUUCACAUGGUUAGCUGUUGAUGUGCUGUUUUUAACCAUGAGCUGUGAAUGUCUCCUUCUGCCCUAAUUCAUGCUUUACCAAAGGGACCGUUUUUCCCUUCAAGAGAUUUUUCACAUUUGGAAGAAGGGACUUGAUGAUGUUCUAAGAUGCAUCCAGUAGUGCUUGGACUAAUGGGAAGUGCCCCCAUGGCUGAGGAGGUGAACGAGGUCACUAUUCAGUGUGAUCAGCACACACUACCUGAGAAAGUCUCAAAAACUGGUGGGAAGAGACCCUUGCCAGAAAACGACAUUUUCAACACGUCAGCAUUUCCCGAAGUGUUGUCUUGGCUCAAGAUGGGCAAAUGCUGGUUAUAGAAACUGUUGGUUUUCCAUAACCAAACCUUCCAGCAGGUGAAGAAGGACUCAUAAGAGAUAUCUUCACUACUCUGCACUCAAGGUCCCCUUCCAACCCAAUAUUCUGUGAUUCUGAAACCUUUUUGACCAUCUGCAAGCUUACUAUUGCUUCCUGGUCUGUGCCAUUACUCCUCCAAAAGGCCUAAUGAACAAGGAUCACUUGCACAGUGGUUUUCCCCUGAGAGCUGCAGCACUGAUGGAUCCCAAUGUCAUGCUGAGACCUUGGCUUGCAUCUCAGAGAGUGGCUUAACCCAGGCCAGUGCUGCUGGCCAUCAUCCUCCCCCUGCAGGCUUUGCACCAGAAUUCCCCUGAAGGCAUUUUCCCAGCUAUCCAUGGUGGUGAGCUUCACUAUUUUUUGCAAAGCUGUGUAUCCUGGAAUCCGUGUUCCUGCCUCUUCACGUAAAUCAGAACUGCACAAAUUGUUUGUGUAGCAUGAGUUGACAACAGCUUGGUCAAGAAGCUUCUGCUUUCCUGAGGAGUGAAGCCUGGCUGGGCUCAAUGCACAGCACCCUCUGGCAGCUGGGAAUGUUGGAAUUAUGGAGAAGCUGUUUCACCAGCAGGGUCUAAGGCAUGAACUGAUAGCAGCCUACAGCUACUUCCAGCUGAGGUACAAGGAUGACAAAGUCCAGCUCUUCUCAGCAGUGGAAUAUUGUGAGACGGUGACCAAGAGCAACAAUUUGCAGCUUGGGAGGUUCAAAGUAGACUGCGGAAAACAAAAUCCUAGGGAAUGGUGGAGUCAGCAAACAGGUACCCAGAGAGAAAAUGUUAACCUUUUUUGGUUAGACAAGACUUGGUGUAAAUAAUUUCCAUAAAUAAAUGAAGCACAGAAGCCGGCUUUUAUUUUUGUCCUCCCCAUAGCCCUGAGGCAAUGAGUUCCACCAAGUAAUUUAUUCACUAUGAAUUGCAAAAGCGAAGUGUGCUUCAAACCCAUGCCUGAGGAGUUCAACCUUCCUGCUUUGGGACUGCUUCCUGUUUAUCUCCUCCACACCAUGGAGCUCCUAUAGAUUCCUGGGGAACAGAAAACACUAUUUUUGAAAGAUCAACUCACAGCCUCAUCUCAAGCACUAAUUUACAAAGAAUUUCAAAGGUCUUGUUGUGGUGUUUUUGGGGAUUUUUUUUCAUUUCUCUCCCUUUUAAAUCUGGUUUACCCAAGGAAAUAAAGUUCAUGAUUAUGCUGUGACAACUGUCCUCAAUAACUCUGGAAUCAGUUUAGAAAGGAGACAGGGAGAUCAUUCACUGCCAGAAAGAUCUUUUUGUUUCUCCCCAAAACACUGAACUAUUCCCCAGAUCCUCAUCUAUCUGAGUGCCUCCCAGCCUGGAGACUUUAAGGCCUGAGAUAUUUAUGAAGCAGAAAGUGCUGAGAUAAGUAUCAGAGUCAAACUGCUCCUUUCAUGAGUCUCAAGUGUGCCUGUGAAGCUCCAAAUCCCCAGAGCCUCAACAAACAUCCCUGAGCCAUUUGAAAGCAGACAGGAAUCCUGGGAUACAUUAAAUAUGCACAUAUCACUUGUCAGCCCCAGCUCCUCAAAUGACUCAUCUGCUCAGCUGCCUGCCAGGUGCUUGGACUCAUCUGUCCCUGUGCAGAAUUCCUGGAUUCCUCUGAUGAAGGGCAGAUGUGCUACUGCCAGGAUUUUGGUUUUCGUCUCUGCAGCCAACAUUUCCUUUGGAACUGAUCAAAAGUCUGUGGUGCUGGUCACCAGGUCAGGUAGAGGCUGGCAUGGGACAGACUGUGCUAGACAAUAUCUGCAGACAUUGAGGAAUUUAGGAAUAGCUUUGGAUGGGAGAAAAAGGGCUUUGUGGAACAUAAUGGCAGCUGUCCCUGUUGCCACAGGGAUGUGGCAUGGAGAGGGCUUGGGCUCAGCCAGUGAAGCAAACUGCCUUUGGCCAGGCAUAGGCAGGGAUCAAGGCUGACCUCCUCCGGCAGGACAUGGGGUGGUGGUGGAGGGUUUGCUGGUCUGAGUGGUGGCUCCUGAGUUUAAGGCUGGACAAUACUCACAAUAACCACGACAUGAUCUGGGCUGAGAUAUUCCUCUCUUGGUAAAAGUUUAUCAAAUGUAAGAAAAGUCUGGGGAAGAGCAAAAAAGAAGACAACUAGAAUCUAUUGUUUCCAAGGGUUCAAAAUCUGUCUGUGCUGGAAGAUGACCAUGAAUCCACUCAAGAUCAGAAAGGGAUGAGAUGCGUUAAUAACACUAGGUAAGGUUAAUUCCACUCAAUACACUGCUAAUUCCUUGCUCACUCUUUUGGAACUGAGAUAACAUGACUCAAAAGACUUUCACAACUAGCUACAAGAGUGCUUCUCUUGAAUGUGUGCAGCUUUUACUUUCUGAGGAGUGAUGGCUUUGCUAACACAGCCUGGUUGGGCAGGUUCAAUCAUGCAGGUCAGGGAAGGACAAACAACUCAUAAAUGUCAGGAAAACCCUGAA